rnacentral:rRNA from 1 species
UACAGAGGUCCCAAGCGUUGUUCGGGUUCACUGGGCGUAAAGGGUGCGUAGGCGGUUGGAUAAGUCUGAUGUGAAAUCUUCGAGCUCAACUCGGAAACUGCAUCGGAAACUAUCCAGCUUGAGGAUUGGAGGGGAGACUGGAAUUCUCGGUGUAGCAGUGAAAUGCGUAGAUAUCGAGAGGAACACCAGUGGCGAAGGCGAGUCUCUGGACAAUUCCUGAC